GGGUCGCGUCGCCGCGCGUUGUAUCGGCGUCGUCUGCAACAACGUCAGCGAUUCGCGCGGAACACCCGAACAGACAUAGGUCGUGAAAUAUAGUUUUAAUUCACCGUGAGCCGGUUUUAAUAUUUGGUCGUGUACGCCGUCGUGACUUGGGAGCAUCGUGCGCGAGUGCACGGGCGUAGAGAAUUCAAUGGAAAGGAAGGCGGAAAAGGAAAAUUCGAUGGCUCGUGAAACUCGGCGGCCCGGUUUGACGGAAAGAACAUGGCCUAGAUGCAUGAAGACCACAAGUCUAGUAAUGAUGAUCAACAACACGAAUGUCUGAUGAGAUUAAUAAUAAAAUAAAUUGAUGGUAAUAGUU